AUUGAACGCUGGCGGCAGGCUUAACACAUGCAAGUCGAGCGGGGAAGGGUAGCUUGCUACCUAACCUAGCGGCGGACGGGUGAGUAAUGCUUAGGAAUCUGCCAUUUAGUGGGGGACAACAUUCCGAAAGGAAUGCUAAUACCGCAUACGUCCUACGGGAGAAAGCAGGGGAUCUUCGGACCUUGCGCUAAAUGAUGAGCCUAAGUCGGAUUAGCUAGUUGGUGGGGUAAAGGCCUACCAAGGCGACGAUCUGUAGCGGGUCUGAGAGGAGGAUCCGCCAAACUGGGACUGGGACACGGGCCAGACUCCUACGGGAGGCAGCAGUGGGGAAUAUUGGACAAUGGGCGGAAGCCUGAUCCAGCCAUGCCGCGUGUGUGAAGAAGGCCUUAUGGUUGUAAAGCACUUUAAGCGAGGAGGAGGCUACUUAGAUUAAUACUCUAGGAUAGUGGACGUUACUCGCAGAAUAAGCACCGGCUAACUCUGUGCCAGCAGCCGCGGUAA
rnacentral:rRNA from 1 species